rnacentral:rRNA from 1 species
UACGGGGGGAGCAAGCGUUGUUCGGAUUUACUGGGCGUAAAGGGCGCGUAGGCGGCCAGCACAAGUCGGUUGUGAAAUCUCCGAGCUUAACUCGGAAAGGUCAACUGAUACUGUGCGGCUAGAGUGCGGAAGGGGCAACUGGAAUUCUUGGUGUAGCGGUGAAAUGCGUAGAUAUCAAGAGGAACACCUGCGGCGAAGGCGGGUUGCUGGGCCGACACUGACGCUGAGGCGCGAAAGCCAGGGGAGCGAACGGG